ACCAGUCACACAUUUAGAUACCCCCGUAGUCCUGGCCGUAAACGAUGUGGACUUGGUGUUGGAAUGGCUCCGAGCUGCUCCAGUGCCGAAGAGAAAUCGUGAAACGCACCACCUGGGAAGUACGGUCGCAAGGCUGAAACUUAAAGGAAUUGGCGGGGGAGCACCACAACAGGUGGAGCCUGCGGUUUAAUUGGAUUCAACGCCGGACAUCUCACCGGAUAAGACAGCUGAAUGAUUGUCAAUCUGAAGGUUUUACAUGACUAGCUG
rnacentral:rRNA from 1 species